AAAUCUUCAGCAGCGCUUCCUUAUUUUUGUCAGUUUGCAGCUUCGUUGGGUGAUGGCGAUUGGAGAAGCUGGUAUUGAAAUUCUCGGGAGUGUGUUGUGGGCAUCAUUUCUAGCUCAAAGUUUGAGAUUUUUGGUUAAGGAGAGAAAAGGUAAGAAGAAUCAGCAGCGAUGGCGGUGCCUUUGCUUUCGAAGAAGACAACGAAGAAAAGGGUUAACAAGUUCAAGCAACCCCAGAGUGACCGAAAAAUUUCCAUCAAGCUCUUGGAAUCGUCUUGCAAAAGUAGAAUUUGCUGUUCAUGGGAUUGACUAUGAAGGCCAUGCAAAGUCAUUGGUUUUGUUAAAGCUUCAAAACCUGUGGUAUUGUUGUUCCUUUGAAUUUUGAGUAAUUAUGGGCUUAAAUUUUAUAGCACUGGUUUUUCAUGGCUCUAUUUGAAAGCCACUUAAAACCCAUUAAAGAUGUCUGCUUUGCAGAACGUUGUUCAUGGGAUUAGUAUACAUUUGAAGUAUUUAUCAGGAUAUGAAAGAAUUCAUUUCUCUUUUGUAUGAGGUGUGCUUGAUUUUUAUAACUCCGUAUAUUUGUUGCUGCCUAUUCACUGAAAAAAGGAAAUAGAUGGUACCUUAGUUGUUCUAAGUAUGUCUUCAGCUAUGGUGAAUUAAAUGCUAUAGGUUUUCUCCUGUGACUUUUCCUUUCCUUUGUUUUUUCUUUGUUAUAUGUUCUCUUGCAUACUGUACUUUGUUGAUGUUGUUCUUGGCGUUUUAUGAUUUAGGUUAUUUUACUGAUUUUUCAUCCUGGCCUUGUGCAUUAGUCUUCGGAAUCUACGGUGGAGUACAAAACGUGAAUGCCCAUAGAAGCUACGAGUGUAGUUAUUAGCAUUAUUAAAGAUAAUGGAUUUGGAGUUUGGAGUAGUUGAGGAGAGCUUGAAGACUUUUUUUGGGUUAGCUGCAGAUAGAAUUUGGAAUCCUCGAUAGAAUUGUCUACAAAAAUAAGAAUCAGCAUCGAAGGUGCUCUUAUUUUCAGUACCUGCUUAAGGUUAGACGGGAUUUGAGGCUUCUGCAAUCAGCAAAGUUGGAGGAAAUCUUGAAUUCCUGCUUUCUGGUAAUCCAUGGCAAAGGGCCUAAACAAAAACUGUAGCUUUUGGAAAGUCUGAAGCGGAGAAGGUGUGAUGGUGGCAAAUAUAACUUUUUGGAAAAGCUUCUUGGAGUUGUACGUUUACUAUCAAAGUAUUAUUCAUCUUCAUUUCAAUGGGAACUCACUGCUCUAAAUUAGGCUUUUGCUGAGAAAUGUGGAGAAAAUGCGAGGAUGAAACUGCCAGCAUUUAAAGAAUGCAGUUUAGAUGAGCUAAAGAUGGCACCUUCAAGAUUCUCAAUUGAAAACAUUGUAUCAGAACAUGGAGAUAGAGCUCGCAAUGUUGUCUACAAAGGGCAGCUUGAAGAUGACGCCUCUUGGAUUGCUGUCAAACAUUUCAAUAAGUUAACCAUGAGUACGGUGGAUGUUAUUCAGAUUUAAGAUUUGUUGUAUGCAAUUUGUAGGUUGAUAAGCGAGGAAACUUAUUGCAGGCUGAUGUGAUUUGAGACAUUGAUUAUACGGUUGUUAUGCCAUUUGAAUUGUACCUUUGUUUACAAUCAAAUAGGAUGAAGUAUUUUGUUUCUACCAAAUGGGAUGAAGUCGCUUUCAUUUUUUUUCUUACUCACUUUGGCUU